CAUAUUGCACCAACACUCCGGAGAACCUAUUGAAUUCGUGGGCGUGAAAAUAUGAAGGCAUUCCUCCGAUGUUGUGGAUUCCUCACCAGUUAGUGGGGGCGCCGGUGGGGUACAGCGUGACGCUGGAAUGUUUCACGGAGGCCCAUCCAACGUCGCUCAACUACUGGACUCUGGAGGACGGCCACAUGAUACACGACAGUCGAAAGUAUCGGGCGGAGAACACGGUCGGCUCGCCUCCCUACAAGACGCACAUGAAACUUACCAUCAGCAACAUACA